CUCCAUCUGGGUUUUCCAGUUCAAAGUUCUCCAAAAAGUUUACUUCUACAGUUUAAGUGUUGGUGCUUUAUGAAAAGUGUGGAAAACACUAGACUACAUGCUAAUGUUAAUUGAUUUUAAGCUCUCCCUGAACAUGAAUUGUGCUGCAAAAUUAGCCCGAGAGCCUUUAGACAUUCACAAGGGCCAAAGAGGGGAAAGUUAUAGAACAAAGAGUUUGGAGACAUGGAACCAUGUCACCCAUCUUACUCCAUCUAGCAGAUCUUGUGCGGCUAGCAGACCGAAGUCCUUUCCCUGUGUGAAUGAGGAUGGAACCAGGCCAGGAUUGGAGCUCUUAGCACUGCAUCUGAUCACCCUGGGAGCCAUGCAAGGGAUAACAAAGAAAAGCAUGCUUAAUGAAUUACCAAGUGCUAUUCAUUCAUGAAGGGACUCUGUGACUUCCACGUGACGUUGUUUCUGUGUAUAGCAGGUGCUGUUGACACAUCACCCACAUUUCUUCAACACCAACAGUUCCCAGGGGCUCUGUUACCAGCUUCUACCUAGAAAAUGACUCUUAGCUUAAUGGCUUUUGGAAGAAACAUUAAGAGCAACCCUCAGCCAGUGAUGGACUGAUACAUUGCCCAGUAGGGUGGGACAACUUUCUGUUGGGAAUGAAUGAUUGCCUAGGCAUGAGGAUCUUGGAUAAUUUUCUACAUCAUCAACAACAGUUCAUGGGUUUCUCCAUUGCUUAAAGAAUGCCCCUUGACUGCUACAAUUAUUGUGUGAGCCUAAACUUCAAUUUUUGAUAAAGAGGAGAAACAUUUCUGGUUCUAACAAUGAAAGAGGUGCACAUUUUGACAUGGAUAUUUUGAUGAGAUGGAGAAGCUGUGGCUCAGGGAGUUGAGAUAACUUGUCAACAUCUUCCAGCGGGAAGUCCAGGCAGGUG
rnacentral:lncRNA from 1 species